UGGUAGUNCACGCCGUAAACGAUGAGUGCUAGGUGUUAGGCCCUUUCCGGGGCUUAGUGCCGGAGCUAACGCAAUAAGCACUCCGCCUGGGGAGUACGACCGCAAGGUUGAAACUCAAAGGAAUCGACGGGGGCCCGCACAAGCGGUGGAGCAUGUGGUUUAAUUCGAAGCAACGCGAAGAACCUUACCAGGUCUUGACAUCCCGAUGCUAUUCUUAGAGAUAGGAAGUUACUUCGGUACAUCGGAGACAGGUGGUGCAUGGUUGUCGUCAGCUCGUGUCGUGAGAUGUUGGGUUAAGUCCCGCAACGAGCGCAACCCUUAUUGUUAGUUGCCAUCAUUAAGUUGGGCACUCUAGCGAGACUGCCGGUAAUAAACCGGAGGAAGGUGGGGAUGACGUCAAAUCAUCAUGCCCCUUAUGACCUGGGCUACACACGUGCUACAAUGGUCGGUACAACGAGUUGCGAGCCGGUGACGGCAAGCUAAUCUCUGAAAGCCGAUCUCAGUUCGGAUUGGAGGCUGCAACUCGCCUCCAUGAAGUCGGAAUCGCUAGUAAUCGCGGAUCAGCACGCCGCGGUGAAUACGUUCCCGGGCCUUGUACACACCGCCCGUCACACCACGAGAGUUUGUAACACCCGA
rnacentral:rRNA from 1 species